rnacentral:rRNA from 1 species
AUGGAUCAAGCGAUCAAGGGCACAGGGUGGAUGUCUAGGCACGGACUGGCGAUGAAGGACGUGGCAAGCUGCGAUAAGCCGGGGGUAGCUGCAAGCAAGCGUUAAUCCCCGGAUUUCCGAAUGGGGAAACCCGGCCGGGGUGAUGCCCGGUCAUCCCUUUGCUGAAUACAUAGGCGUUGGGAAGCGAACCGAGGGAACUGAAACAUCUAAGUACCUCGAGGAAGAGAAAACAACCGUGAUUCCCUCAGUAGCGGCGAGCGAACGGGGAAGAGCCCAAACCAUGGAGGUGUCAAGGCGGCAGCCGUUGCUUCCAUGGGGUAGCAGGGUGGUUCGUGAGAGUCUGCCGGCUCUCGGAGCGUCGCGCGACGGUGAGUCGAAUCCGUCUGGAAAGCCAAGCCAUAGAGGGUGACAGCCCCGUAGGCGAAGCCGACGUCGCGAUCUCUGGAUCAUUCCUGAGUAGGUCGGGACACGUGAAAUCCCGAUUGAAUCCGGCAGGACCACCUGCCAAGGCUAAAUACACGUCCGUGACCGAUAGCGAACGAGUACCGUGAGGGAAAGAUGAAAAGUACGCCGGGAGGCGGGUGAAACAGAUCCUGAAACCGUGUGCCUACAAGCGGUGGGAGCUCGACCCUCUCUUCGUGAGAGACGUCGGGUGACCGCGUGCCUUUUGCAUUAUGAUCCGGCGAGUUGUUCCUCAGUAGCGAGGUUAAGCCGUUCAGCGGCGGAGCCGAAGCGAAAGCGAGUCUUAACUGGGCGUAAAGUUGCUGGGGACAGACCCGAAACCAGAGUGAUCUAUCCAUGGCCAGGUUGAAGCGAGGGUAAUGCUUCGUGGAGGACCGAACCGUUGUGGGUUGAAAACUGCUCGGAUGAGCUGUGGAUAGGGGUGAAAGGCCAAUCAAACCUGGAGAUAGCUGGUUCUCCCCGAAAGAUAUUUAGGUAUCGCCUCUGAGUGUAGACUGCGGGAGGUAGAGCACUGGAAGGGCUAGGGCCCUAAACCGGGUACCAACCCCUACUAAACUCCGAAUGCCCGUUAGUUGGUCUCAGGGAGGAAGUGCACGUGCGAUAAUGUUCGUGCGCGAGAGGGAAAGAGCCCAGACCUUCAGCUAAGGUCCCCAAGUGCUAGCUAAGUGACAAAGGUGGUGGAUUUGCGGAGACAACUGGGAGGUUGGCUUAGAAGCAGCCAUCCUUGAAAGAGUGCGUAAUAGCUCACCAGUCAAGCGGAUCUGCGCCGAUAAUGGUCGGGACUCAAGUUAGCCACCGAAGCUAAGGCUGCGCGCAUCUGCGCGCGGGGUAGGGGAGCGUUGCCUGAGCUGUGAAGCGGGGCCGGAAGGCUACCCGUGGAGCGCAGGCAAGUGAGAAUGCCGGAAUGAGUACGCGAGAAACAAGGUGAGAACCCUUGUCGCCGUAAGCCCAAGGUUUCCUGAGCCAUGCCAAUCAGCUCAGGGUUAGUCGGCCCCUAAGGUGAGGCCGAAAGGCGUAGCCGAUGGAAAACGGGUCAACAUUCCCGUACCACACGAUACUGCGCUUGAGUUCGCGGAGGGACGCAGAGGUGAAAGGUCCGUCGUUUCAAUGGACAUGAACGAUGUAAGGAGGUAGGCGUUUCCGGGUAGGCAAAUCCGCCUGGUGAAGCCGAGAUCCGAUGCCGAAGAAGUCUUCGGACUUCGCUAAGGGACCGUAAUCGUACUGCCAAGAAAAGCUUCGUGAACGAGGAGUACGUGUGACCGUACCGCAAACCGACACAGGUGGGCGAGGCGAGUAGCCUCAGGCGCUCGAGUGAGUCUUGGUUAAGGAACUCGGCAAAAUGUCCCCGUAACUUAGGGAGAAGGGGAGCCGGCGGUAGGUGAUCCUGCCUCGCGCAGGGGAGCCGAAAUCGGCCGCAGAGAAUCGGCCCAAGCGACUGUUUAUUAAAAACACAGGUGUCUGCAA